AUGAACGCUAGCUACAGGCUUCACACAUGCCAGUCGAGGGGAAACGAUGAGAGAGCUUGCUCUCUUAGUCGUCGACCGGCGCACGGGUGAGUAACGCGUAUCCAACCUGCCUCUGACCAAGGGAUAACCCGUCGAAAGUCGGACUAAUACCUUAUGCAGUCGUCGGAAGUCAUCUGAUGACGACGAAAGAUUUCAUCGGUGAGAGAUGGGGAUGCGUCUGAUUAGCUUGUUGGCGGGGUAACGGCCCACCAAGGCGACGAUCAGUAGGGGUUCUGAGAGGAAGGUCCCCCACAUUGGAACUGAGACACGGUCCAAACUCCUACGGGAGGCAGCAGUGAGGAAUAUUGGUCAAUGGGCGUAAGCCUGAACCAGCCAAGUAGCGUGCAGGAUGACGGCCCUAUGGGUUGUAAACUGCUUUUAUGCGGGGAUAAAGUGAGGGACGUGUCCUUCAUUGCAGGUACCGCAUGAAUAAGGACCGGCUAAUUCCGUG
rnacentral:rRNA from 1 species